rnacentral:rRNA from 1 species
AACGCGAAAGCCUCCUUCGGGGGGCAAGUAGAGUGGCGCACGGGUGAGUAACACGUAGGUAAUCUACCUUUGGAUUGGGAAUAACAACCGGAAACGGUUGCUAAUACCGAAUAAUGCAGCGGCACCUAAUGGUGACAGUUGUUAAAGCGGGGGAUCGCAAGACCUCGCGUCUAAAGAGGAGCCUGCGGCGGAUUAGCUAGUUGGUAAGGUAACGGCUUACCAAGGCGAUGAUCCGUAGCCGGCCUGAGAGGGCGGUCGGCCACACUGACACUGACAUACGGGUCAGACUCCUACGGGAGGCAGCAGUCGGGAAUUUUGGGCAAUGGGCGAAAGCCUGACCCAGCAACGCCGCGUGAAGGAUGAAAUCCUUCGGGAUGUAAACUUCGCAAGAACGGGAAGAAUAAGUGGGAGUUAAUAUCUCUCACGAUGACGGUACUGUUUGUAAGCUCCGGCUAACUCCGUGCCAGCAGCCGCGGUAAUACGGGGGGAGCAAGCGUUGUUCGGAUUUACUGGGCGUAAAGGGCGCGUAGGCGGCCACCGCAAGUCGACUGUGAAAUCUCCGGGCUUAACCCGGAAAGGUCAGCCGAUACUGCGGGGCUAGAGUGCAGAAGGGGCAACUGGAAUUCUCGGUGUAGCGGUGAAAUGCGUAGAUAUCGAGAGGAACACCUGCGGCGAAGGCGGGUUGCUGGGCUGACACUGACGCUGAGGCGCGAAAGCUAGGGGAGCGAACGGGAUUAGAUACCCCGGUAGUCCUAGCCUUAAACGAUGAAUGCUUGGUGUCUGGGGUUUUAUAGUCCCCGGGUGCCGUCGCUAACGCUUUAAGCAUUCCGCCUGGGGAGUACGGUCGCAAG